AUUUUCAUCACCUAGGGUUCUUGUUAAAAAGCAGAUUCUGAUUCAGGGAGUAAGAUUCUGCAUUUUUAGCAAGUUCUCAAGUGAUGCUAAU
rnacentral:pre_miRNA from 1 species